rnacentral:rRNA from 1 species
AACGAACGCUGGCGGCAUGCCUAACACAUGCCAGUCGAACGAGACCUUCGGGUCUAGUGGCGCACGGGUGCGCAACGCGUGGGAACCUGCCCUUAGGUUCGGAAUAACUCCCCGAAAGGGGUGCUAAUACCGGAUAAUGUCUUCGGACCAAAGAUUUAUCGCCUUUGGAUGGGCCCGCGUUGGAUUAGCUAGUUGGUAGGGUAAAAGCCUACCAAGGCGACGAUCCAUAGCUGGUCUGAGAGGAUGAUCAGCCACACUGGGACUGAGACACGGCCCAGACUCCUACGGGAGGCAGCAGUGGGGAAUAUUGGACAAUGGGCGAAAGCCUGAUCCAGCAAUGCCGCGUGAGUGAUGAAGGCCUUAGGGUUGUAAAGCUCUUUUACCCGGGAUGAUAAUGACAGUACCGGGAGAAUAAGCUCCGGCUAACUCCGUG